AUGCAGGUGUGUCGCCUGUGCAUGCAGGUGUGCAUUGCACACAGGUGGCAUGUCAUGCAUGCAUGCAGGUGUGUCGCGUGUGCAUGCAGGCAUGCUGUGUGUGCACCCAGCUGUGCGUUGCGUGUGCAUGCCGCCGUGCCAUCCGAGCCCCGGCCGUGCGGCCGGUGGGACGCCCCUCGCCACCUCCCCGUCCCCCCCGGCAGCGCGGCGCGACUCCCCUGCGCAGCGGCAGCUGGCUCGGCUGCACAGCUGUGCACGGCCCACGCAGCACGGCGCAGCGCUGUCGCCAGCCCACGCCGCCUCCCCGGCAGCGAUGGUGCGCGGCCGCCUCCCCCCCCGGCUUCCGGGACGCCAGCUCCAGCCCUGGCUCCGGCUCGGUCCCUUUCCCCAGCUCCAGCCCUGCCCUGGCCCUGGCCCCCAGCCCCAGCCCUGCUCCGUGCCCAUCCCCAGCCCUUAUCCCUGCCUCCAGCCCCCAGCUCUGCCCCAUCCCCAUCCCCUGCGCCAUACUCCAUCCCCAGCCCUUAUCCCUGGCUCCAUUUCCCAGACCCAGACCUAGCUCCACCCUCCGUAUCCGAACCUCAGCUCCAGCCCUUAUCCCUGCCUCCAUCCAUGGCCCCUUCCCGGGGCGAUGCGGCUCUGCUGAGGAUGACUGACCCCCCCCCACCAUGCGCUGGCCACCGCCUGGCGCUCCAGGUCCCGGGACAUGCUGGAUCCCGUGGCAGCCGGCAGCUCCGGGCUGGAUCCCGCGGCAGCUGGCGUCUCCAGGCCCAGCUGGGCCAGAGCUGCAGCCGGAGCCCCCGCUCCCCACGGAGAGACCCUGCUCCGGGCUCCCAUUUCCUGGCGCCAUUCCCACUCCCCAAACAGCUCCCAGCCCUCCCUCAAUGGAGCGAACACCGACAGGUUUCCCCAGCACAAAAGCUUUUUUGCUGGCUGCGUGUGGCUAAGGAAGCUGCUCCAGGACUGGCGCAACCCCGGCCGCGGCUCGGCACCGUCCCGGCAUCAUCCGACCCCUCCGGCCGUGGAGCAGGAAGCACUGGCCAGGGCAGUGCCGGGAUGCCAUCCCGCCCGCAGGCACUGUGCAUUGGCCCCACACUUUGCUCCACAUGGCCCCGCCGGGAGCAGGGCCGGAGCUGGGACCCCCUGGCACUUCCCACCCGGACACCUGGGCUCGACCCUGAGUCCUUCCCCACCGCCGUGGGGCAGCAUGUCCCGUGGGGUGCUGCUGGGGGGGGGUGUGAGCAUCCUGGGCGACCCCACCAGCCCCCGCUACGGCCCGGCUGCCGGCGCCAAUCCAUUGCGAGCGGCCACCUCCGGCGAGUGUCCAGACAGGGGCUGCAUCUCCAGCUGCUGCAUCUCCAGCUGCUGCUGCUUCUUCCGCAGCUCAUACUGUUGGAUCUUCUUCUUGCGGUAGUAGAUGCCGUAGCC
rnacentral:lncRNA from 1 species